GAGGGAAUGAAGGGGCGGGGUGGGAUCUCGGUCAAGCCGGGGCUGGAGUGGCGACAAUUUUGGCUAGUCUGAGAAGGGCAUUCGAGUGACCGUUGACAACGGGUGAAACAGCGUCAAGGCUGAAGAAAGAACCUUAACUAUAUGCUUCCAGGACUUCUAGCUAGACUUAAUAUUUAAAUAUUACCCACCAUUCCAUGGGGCCUAGGAGCAGAAGAUGUGUCUCCUGAGGCAAGGGAAACAAAAGCAAAAUUAAACCAUUUGGACUACAUCAAAAUAAAAAGCUCUUGCACGAUGAAGGAAAUCAUCAAUAAAACAAAAGACAACCCACUGAGUGGUAGAAGAUAUUUGCAACUAACAUGUCUGGAGGUUUAAGCAGAAAUCUUCUAACUCUUUCUCCUGCCUUCUUGCAAAUUCAUCUUAUCUCUGGAAAGAAGUAUGUUGGUGUACCUCUGCUAUUAAAAAUAGGCUAGAGAAAGUUGGAGAAUCCCAGGAUGGAAUACAGACUGUGAUGAAAGAAUCCAACUGUACUAUAAGUGUACGAAUAAAACUUCAAAGAAGGACAUAGAGAGGAAAGGUGCUAUGUAAAGAGCUGGAAAUGAGUGGAGCCUAUAAUACUUAAGUUGGGCCUGUGGUAGAAGAAGCUAGAGAAAGUAAAGGAAGAAGGAAGAAAGAAGGGAUUAAAAAUGCCUUCAUUUUUAGGGAAAGGAAUCUGGAAGAUCCAAGAAUGAACAAGUGGCUGCACCAGUUUGCAUUCCCACCAACAAUGCAGAGCGUUCCUGUUUCUCCACAUCCUUGCCAACAUUCAUGUUAUUUACAGAUAAAAUUAUUUCAAUACAUCAAAAAUAUUUGAA